GAACUGGAAGUCUAAUUCUGGAGUUCUGAGUGAGCACGUAUGACCUGGUGCUCUGCCCUAUGUCUCAAUAAACCAUCACUGUUUAUUCUUACAUCAGUUUCUCCACAUUAUUGAUUGCAAGCAGCAAUUGAUGAGAACAUAGGAAGGCGUGCAGCUAAAAUUCAGUUGGCCAACGAAUUCAUUUACCCAAGACAUAAAAGUGGUGACAAGGAUAAAAACAUUGCAAGAUCUCUGAGUGUGAGUCCACAAGACAGCUUGGAGGGGAGGGGCAGCAGGAGUGAACAUGUCUGCACCUGGAAGAUGGUGAAAUCAUCCACUGAGGGUCAUAGUGGCAAAUGCCCCUGAAAAGGAGGCCUUGGAAACACCAGCUGAGGUUGUUGGGCUACAACGCUUAACCGAUUUUGGUACUGGAGAUGUAGGUACAGAACUGAGAAUACAGUAUCAACAAACAAGCAGACAUUCAUCCCAUCAGCCUGGACUGGAUUUAAGGUCCCCUCAGCACACACUGAGGCAGAUUGUUCUGUGUCUGCACCUGGAUCUAUUGGAUUAGAUAGCUUCCUUCUCAGGAAUGCCAUCCA